rnacentral:rRNA from 1 species
UACGUAGGGGGCGAGCGUUGUCCGGAUUUAUUGGGCGUAAAGAGCGUGUAGGCGGCCAGGUAGGUCUGCUGUGAAAACUCGAGGCUCAACCUCGAGACGUCGGCGGAAACCAUCUGGCUAGAGUCCGGAAGAGGAGAGUGGAAUUCCGUGGUGUAGCGGUGAAAUGCGCAGAUAUCAGGAAGAACACCCGUGGCGAAGGCGGCUCUCUGGGACGGUACUGACGCGAGACGCGAAAGCGUGGGGAGCGAACAGG